ACUGGAAUGAACGGCUAAAUGAGGACUAAACUGUCUCUUGCGAGCUAGUCAAUGAAAUUGAUUUUCCAGUACAAAAGCUGGAAUAGACCCAUAAGACGAAAAGACCCUGUGGAGCUUAAAAACCAGAUUCAUUAAGAAUGUUUCCUCGGAUUUUCAGUUGGGGCGACUUCGGAGUACAAAAAAACCUCCGAAAAAUGUAAACUUGUAUUAAGAUCAACACACCAAAAAUAACAUAUAGACCCAGCAAUUUUUACAAAUAUGUCUGACCAAUGAACCAAGUUACCCCAGGGAUAACAGCGCCAUCCCCUUUUAGAGUCCCUAUCGACAAGGGGGUUUACGACCUCGAUGUUGGAUCAGGACACCCCAAUGGUGCAGCCGCCAUUAAAG
rnacentral:rRNA from 1 species